UUACCGAGUUAGGGUCUCACCGGCCCGAUCUCCCAACCCUUUGUCUACUUGACCAUCGUUGCUUCGGCGAGCCCGUCCUCACGGACCGCCGGGGGGUCUUUGUACCCCUUGGCCCGCGCUCGUCGACAGCCCCCAAAUUUAAAAAUCUUAACUAAACGUGUCUUGAAUCUAAGUAUUAUUGUUAAAUAAAAACAAAACUUUCAACAACGGAUCUCUUGGUUCUGGCAUCGAUGAAGAACGCAGCGAAAUGCGAUAAGUAAUGCGAAUUGCAGAAUUCCAGUGAGUCAUCGAAUCUUUGAACGCACAUUGCGCCCUUUGGUAUUCCGAAGGGCAUGCCUGUUCGAGCGUCAUUAUCACCCCUCAAGCCCUCGGCUUGGUGUUGGACGGUUUGGUGGAGACCCCCUUUGCGGGCUUCUACCCCUCCCAAAGACAAUGACGGCGGCCUCGUUGGACCCCCGGUACACUGAGUUCUUCACGGGACACGUAUCGGACACAUGGGUUCACGGGACACGGUCUGCCUCCCCUCAGGGAGAAUCUUUUUUUAUCAAGGUUGACCUCGGAUCAGGUAGGGAUACCCGCUGAACUUAAGCAUAUCAAUAAGCGGAGGAAAAGAAACCAACAGGGAUUGCCUCAGUAACGGCGAGUGAAGCGGCAACAGCUCAAAUUUGAAAUCUGGCCUCUUUGGGGUCCGAGUUGUAAUUUGUAGAGGAUGUUUCGGGUACC
rnacentral:rRNA from 1 species